AGUUCGGAUUGAAGGCUGAAAUUCGCCUUCAUGAAGCUGGAAUUGCUAGUAAUGGCAGGUCAGCAUACUGCCGUGAAUACGUUUCCCGGGGCCCUUGUACACACCGCCCGUCACACCAUGAGAGUUGGGAAUACCCGAAGCCUGUGAGCUAACUUAUAGAGGCAGCAGUCGAAGGUAGAAUCAAUGAUUGGGGUGAAGUCGUAACAAGGUACC
rnacentral:rRNA from 1 species